rnacentral:tRNA from 1 species
UAAGCUAUAAUUUAAAUUAAAAUAUAUGAUUUGCACUCAUAUUACGUUCUAUCAGAACUAGCUUAG